rnacentral:lncRNA from 1 species
ACUAGACUGGUUCGGUAAUUCGGUUUUCCUGCACUGACUCGGUCAUCGACUAUUUAGCCCUGGAAUGAUUAGGUCAUAAGCUAUUUACCUCUGGACUAAGUCGGUCAUCAGCUAUUUACUCUGGUUUACUCGUGGGCAUGGACUGGUUCGGAAAUCAACUCAUUUUCCCUGCACUGACUCUGUAAUUAAUCUAUUGUUUCUCCUGGGAUCGCCUGUUUUUCCCUGGCUCAGUUCUCAACUGUCUCCCCUGGGCUAACUGGACAUUGUUUUCCUUGGAGUGACUAAGUGGGUCAUCAUCUGUUUCCACAGACUCAGCGGGGUCACUCCUUACAGGCCAUCUCAUCAUCCACUGUUUACCGUGGAGUGAUUUGUUUGCAGCCCGUUUUCACGCAGCGGAGGGGAUUUCCGUCUUUCCCUCAUCUGAUCUUGUCCCUGAACGGACUCGGUCAUCCACUGUGAGCCCUGGACUGACUCUGUUAUCCACUGCUCUUCCUGGGCGGAGGCUGAUGACGCUUCACCCUACUGGUUCUGGUUCUUAAAAGCGGGCUUCCGGGAACUUAAAACAAGGUGGUUCUAUAUUCACGUGGAUGAAAACACAGAGCGGUACCUGAGUUUCCCCUCAGAGGAGUUAUCCCAGUUUGCAUCCCAACCAAGAACAUACAGAGGUCUCUCCAAAGCCUGGACUUACGGGGACGUAAGACCGUGGGCCUCGACGCAAAGGACAAAGUUAGUGUCUUUAAUCUGCAUUCGGGGAAUUCUCCAUCCCGCACCGGCUGAGUCCAGAGAAACUGGAAAACGGAAAAAGGUAAGAAGUGUCUGUUGGACCUGAAAUUCUCCGUACGCCCCACCUGAUAGGCUGGGUUCCUAGAAGCUCAGUUCAAAGAGAGGGCUCUUGCUGGGAGGUUCAGCGUUGGGCUUUGAGUAGCAGAGGACACCCGGGGAGCCGCGGAGAGACAGGUUUGUGAAACCUACUGUCACGCUGCUUGGCCUGCCAAAGUGGCUUGGGUAUCCAGCAGCGUGGUUGUUGGUGUGUGGGCGUGUUCGUGAAGGGGGUGGAGGGCAGCCAGACCCUCCCGUUCCCCAUGUGUCCUGGCGGAGCAUCCUCAGGGGCCAGUGGCUGGAGCCUUCGCCACCCAGGGGCCGUUCUCAAUGACUUGUUGAAACUCGGUGAGCCCACGUGAGAGGUGUGCCUUGGCGUGAUGGCGCAGUGGGAUGCUGUUGCCUUGGUAACCCCGGUGACGUGUGGUCCUCUGAGCCGGCCUAGGGCAGAUAGGUGAAGCCCUGAAGACCCUAAACAUGGUGGGAUUCAGAGGAUUUAAUGUGCGAAGUGCGCACGAUCCUGUGAAUAAGAGGGAGUGGCUUUUAGUAACCAGCAGGGCCGGGAUUCAGCAAAAUUGAUUACCUCUGGAGUUUCCUGGUGGCUCAGUGGUUAAGGAUCUAGCAUUGUCACUACGGCGGCAUGGGUUUGAUCCCUGACCUGGGAACUUCCAUGUGCCAGAGGUGCAGCCAAUAAAAUUAAAUUAAAUUAAAAAAUUGAUUAUCCC